GUAUUAUUUUAUUUACACAUGGAGGUGUAUCUCUUUUGGUGGCGUAAAGGCAUGUUUCUUGACACAAGUGACAAUCCAAAUUUUUAGAUGGCUGUUUAAAAUUUUAGUCAUGCAGCUGGAUGGCAGGCUGGUUAAUACCAUGCAGUAAUGCAGUAGAAUAAUCUUGAGCAUAACAUCUAACAUAAUACAGCAACAAUAUAAAUUGUAUAACUUUGCUUGAUUUAUAGUUACUGAAUAUAUAAACACUUCUUACAUUUGGUCAACUUGCACAAUAAUUGCUUGAAAUUUGUGUUACAAGCACUGUCAGUCAGCACUAAGCAGUUUACUCAGCGUUUACAUAGUUGUUUACAUGCUGUACAUGUACUCAACAAAUCCCCGAGAUAUUUCUCGCUAUAGUAACAUACAGCGUAAAAACACAUGGGAUUGUAAAUUUGAAGUUUGUUCUUUGCUGAAAUAUCUCAAAAUUUGUGUCGACAAACCAGUUUCAAUGUCAUGCACGUCCACUAUACGUGUGUAACAGCAAUCGACAAUUCCAAGAGGCAAGAGCAUCCAUUAUCCAGUUGAAAUUUUGACGUUUACCACUCCAUCUGCAUUCUAGAGUAUUCCAUUUCCCAAAAGUAUUAAUAUUGAUGUUAUAUGCAUGUAGGAUACAGACCAAAUAUAAAUUGAACGGUUGCAAAAAUUCUUAUAAAUUCCAUUCACAUUUCACACUUCGUCUUUCGAUACGAUUUACAUAGUUUCGGCGUGGUUUGACCAUCUGUAUUUCGUUAAAUUCCGGCCAUCCGUUGUAAGUGCAAAAUAAUCAAUGUUUCAUUCAUAUUUGUUUCAAUUUGCAACAUAAAAAUGAUAUGCUCGAUCGAUAUUUUUUCGAAUUGUGUCUGAAUAUAAAAAGAUCGUAUCCUAUGGGAGUAGGGGUAACACAGCUUUUGACAUUUUGUAGUAGUUUUGAUAUGAACAAUUAAUCCCAUGAGGGUGGGGGUAACAUAGCCGGUCCACAAGGGUUACAUAGCUGGUCCAAAGUCUUCGGGUUUUGGGUUUUGGCUAGGCUCAGAUUCCAGCCGUUGUGUUCUCGCCACUCGCCCACUUAACUGGGCGAGUGGCGAGAACACAACGGCUGGAAUCUGAGCCUAGGUUUUGGCAGGCAUCGCCACUAUUAAUUUUUUUGCCUGCAUGAAAUUUUGCCCGAUAAUCGAAAGGCGAUGCCUGCGGAGGAGGCUACUAAAUUAGUAUACUUUCCAUAUCUUUGAGCAUUAAAAGCUCAAAAUUGGCUACGAAAAUCAUACUACGUG